rnacentral:rRNA from 1 species
AUGAUGAACGCUAGCUACAGGCUUAACACAUGCAAGUCGAGGGGCAGCAUUUUAGUUUGCUUGCAAACUGAAGAUGGCGACCGGCGCACGGGUGAGUAACACGUAUCCAACCUACCGAUAACUCCGGAAUAGCCUUUCGAAAGAAAGAUUAAUACCGGAUAGCAUACGAAUAUCGCAUGAUAUUUUUAUUAAAGAAUUUCGGUUAUCGAUGGGGAUGCGUUCCAUUAGUUUGUUGGCGGGGUAACGGCCCACCAAGACUACGAUGGAUAGGGGUUCUGAGAGGAAGGUCCCCCACAUUGGAACUGAGACACGGUCCAAACUCCUACGGGAGGCAGCAGUGAGGAAUAUUGGUCAAUGGGCGAGAGCCUGAACCAGCCAAGUAGCGUGAAGGAUGAAGGCUCUAUGGGUCGUAAACUUCUUUUAUAUGGGAAUAAAGUUUUCCACGUGUGGAAUUUUGUAUGUACCAUAUGAAUAAGGAUCGGCUAACUCCGUGCCAGCAGCCGCGGUAAUACGGAGGAUCCGAGCGUUAUCCGGAUUUAUUGGGUUUAAAGGGAGCGUAGGUGGAUUGUUAAGUCAGUUGUGAAAGUUUGCGGCUCAACCGUAAAAUUGCAGUUGAAACUGGCAGUCUUGAGUACAGUAGAGGUGGGCGGAAUUCGUGGUGUAGCGGUGAAAUGCUUAGAUAUCACGAAGAACUCCGAUUGCGAAGGCAGCUCACUAGACUGUCACUGACACUGAUGCUCGAAAGUGUGGGUAUCAAACAGGAUUAGAUACCCUGGUAGUCCACACAGUAAACGAUGAAUACUCGCUGUUUGCGAUAUACAGUAAGCGGCCAAGCGAAAGCAUUAAGUAUUCCACCUGGGGAGUACGCCGGCAACGGUGAAACUCAAAGGAAUUGACGGGGGCCCGCACAAGCGGAGGAACAUGUGGUUUAAUUCGAUGAUACGCGAGGAACCUUACCCGGGCUUAAAUUGCAACAGAAUAUAUUGGAAACAGUAUAGCCGUAAGGCUGUUGUGAAGGUGCUGCAUGGUUGUCGUCAGCUCGUGCCGUGAGGUGUCGGCUUAAGUGCCAUAACGAGCGCAACCCUUAUCUUUAGUUACUAACAGGUUAUGCUGAGGACUCUAGAGAGACUGCCGUCGUAAGAUGUGAGGAAGGUGGGGAUGACGUCAAAUCAGCACGGCCCUUACGUCCGGGGCUACACACGUGUUACAAUGGGGGGUACAGAAGGCGGCUACCUGGUGACAGGAUGCUAAUCCCAAAAACCUCUCUCAGUUCGGAUCGAAGUCUGCAACCCGACUUCGUGAAGCUGGAUUCGCUAGUAAUCGCGCAUCAGCCAUGGCGCGGUGAAUACGUUCCCGGGCCUUGUACACACCGCCCGUCAAGCCAUGAAAGCCGGGGGUACAUGAAGUACGUAACCGCAAGGAGCGUCCUAGGGU